rnacentral:rRNA from 1 species
AGAGUUUGAUCAUGGCUCAGGAUGAACGCUAGCGGGAGGCCUAACACAUGCAAGCCGAGCGGUAUAGAAUCUUCGGAUUUUAGAGAGCGGCGUACGGGUGCGGGACACGUGUGCAACCUACCUUUAUCUGGAGGAUAGCCUUUCGAAAGGAAGAUUAAUACUCCAUAAUAUAUUGAUUGGCAUCAAUUAAUAUUGAAAGCUCCGGCGGAUAGAGAUGGGCACGCGCAAGAUUAGUUAGUUGGUGAGGUAACGGCUCACCAAGACGAUGAUCUUUAGGGGGCCUGAGAGGGUGAUCCCCACACUGGUACUGAGACACGGACCAGACUCCUACGGGAGGCAGCAGUGAGGAAUAUUGGACAAUGGGUGCAAGCCUGAUCCAGCCAUCCCGCGUGAAGGACGACUGCCUAUGGGUUGUAAACUUCUUUUGUAUAGGGAUAAACCUCUCCUCGUGAGGAGAGCUGAAGGUACUAUACGAAUAAGCACCGGCUAACUCCGUG